UCAUUCCUUUUGUGCUCUUGAUUCGCAGGCUAUUCGGUGAGAAAGCUCGUUCGUCCACCUUUUUCUACUUUUUUCCCUUCGUUCAGGAAUCGUCGUAUGCCGUGUGACUGGGCCAUUACAAACAUUCCUUUCAUCUGUGACGUUUGUGUGAUACAGCAUAUGAAAUACCUUCAUUGUGCGUAGACUGGAUAAUGACAACCUCCAGAAACAGAGAAACAGGUGCCAUUUGAUGUGGCUCCAAGGAAAGUGUGGAAGAGAAUGGAGAAACUACUUGGUGUCGACGUACAACAGGCAAGGAAAAUGAUGAUUGUGAAGACCAACUUCCUGCGACUGCUGAAUAUAUGAUUCCAGCAGGAGCACCCCAAGGCAAUCUCUGAUGCCACGGAGGAGUGAUGAUGAUGAUGAUGAUGAUGAUGAUGAUGACGUAAAGACAAAUACAGUGGUCUUUAACUAUGAGGGUUCAGCAGUCUGUAUGUUUUUCAUUCCUACCAAAGACUCCACCAACUGAUUUCACGUGUAGCCUCGCAAAAACAUCACUUGCUCAUGAAAUUAGAUGGAAAAUAAGCCUAACAUCCACAUGACAGUGGUUUGGGAUAAACACCACUUUUCUACUGGGACUGGUGCUGGAGCCAGAUAUUGAUAAUAUGCCAACUGCAAAACAUCACUGGUGCUUGUCAAGAAAAAUCUGCUUUUGUGACACUUUUUUGAGUGCAGAUACUUGGCAAUCUGUAACUAGGGAACAAUGCAACAGUCCAUCUCAGCAAAAAGCAGAAAAUGUACAAAGUAUGAAAAUAGAGCAUGACUGGAGAAAGCUCCAGUGAUAUGCAAAUGACCAAGUAAUUAUAGAUUAUGCCUUAAUAUUGGGGGAUGUGAUGUUCUAGUGGUUAAGGUGUUGGGCUUGAGACCAGAAGAUCCUCGGUUCAAAUCCCAGCCUGACUGGAAAAUCACUAAUGGCCCUUGGGCAAGGUCUUUAAUCCCCUAUUUGCUCCUGGUGUGUAGUGAAUGCCUUGUAUGGCAACACCAUCACAUCAGGGUGAAUGUGAGGCAUUAUUUGUAAAGAGCUUUGAGCAUCUGAUGCAGAUGGAAAAGCGCUAUAUAAAUAUAGUCCAUUUAAUAUCUACAGCUCUGUGUACUGUCAGAGCUCAGAAGCUAAACAGAGUGGGUCCUUGUUAGUACUUGGAUGGGACUCUUAGACUCCUCUUAGGUGCUGUGUCUUUUCCACCAGGUAAACUGGAGUUGCGUCAGGAAGGGAAUCCGGCAUAAAACUCACCAAAUCAUAAUGUGGAUCUACUGUGGUGACCCUGAACAAACGUGAGCAGUCGAGGGUCAAACAGCAACUAAAUAGUCACAGUUUUUGGAAGUGUUUGAAAAUUUGACAUUACUUCCGGCCUGAUUAACUUAUAUUCCAAAUAACAAGUACUAAAUUGUGUGGGCAUUCUCAAAUUUUGACUGUUGGGUUGAUAAAUGUUCUGCCAGUGUUUCACUAACAAUACUUGUGCACAUGACAGCGGGUGUUAACGCAAUGCUGACAACAGCGUGUUUUGCAUGUUUUAAUGUUUUUCAGUCAGCCACUUGCAAGUAUACACAAAAUAAGACAAACAUUUUAACUAAAAAGGAGCUGGGGGAGGUGUGUGGAUUAGGAGGUCUGGGCGGCUUUGCUUGAGCUGCUGCCCCCACGACCCGACUCCGGAUAAAGCGAGGUACAUGGUGUGUGGCACAAACCCGGAUUCACUACCACUGCUGUGGAAAUUGCCUCAAAUUGUUGGUUUAUAUUGAUGAUCUUCAAAUGUGUCUUCCUGCAACUGAGGAGCUGUUCAUGGCACAGCUCUGGAUCGCGGUGUCAUGCAAUGACGUGAGUGACAGCUUUAAAGUUCUCCGUCACUGGAUUAUGAUUUGUUCUGGACCAAUUUGACCCUCAACAAGCUUUUCUUUCGACAAUCACCCCCUCUAAUUCGAAGGAACAUUGUAAAUCCCAGUUUUGGACAGAAGAUCAGGAUCCCUGCUGCAGAUGUUUGCACCUGGCUCAACGCUUAACUACUGACGGCUUGAUCUCAGUCACUGACAGGCUUGUUCUUGGGUAGCAGCAGCACCAGCAGCUCGGACGUGACGAAGCUGUAGCACAGAGUUUGUCUGACUGUGGAGUUUAACCAUGAACAGACCAGUUUAAGCUGGUCUGGAGCAAUGCUUUGGACUUUUCUUUGUGGACUUUUUUUAGAUUCACAUUCAUACAUCUGUUUAUGUGCUUUAGUGGUAAUGUUUAAAUUAUCAAUAAGGUCUGAGAAUGCUUAUGUCUUGUAAACAUUUUACUGUUAUUACCCAAGGCCAUCAAAAUACAGUUAUCGGGUAUUGCAUCCGUCCAUCUGUCCAUCUGUCUGUGCUCAACAUAAGUCCAGUCCUAACCCUGCCAGGGUCUUCAAAUUCACAGGGAAUA